GGAUGAACGCUGGCGGCGUGCUUAACACAUGCAAGUCGAACGAGAAGUGAAGACGGACACCUUCGGGCGGAAGGCUUUAUUUCGAGUGGCGGACGGGUGAGUAACGCGUGGGUAACCUGCCUCAUACAGGGGGAUAACAGUUGGAAACGACUGUUAAUACCGCAUAAGACCACAGCACCGCAUGGUGCGGGGGUAAAAACUCCGGUGGUAUGAGAUGGACCCGCGUUCGAUUAGCCAGUUGGCGGGGUAACGGCCCACCAAAGCGACGAUCGAUAGCCGAUCUGAGAGGAUGACCGGCCACAUUGGGACUGAGACACGGCCCAAACUCCUACGGGAGGCAGCAGUGGGGAAUAUUGCACAAUGGGGGAAACCCUGAUGCAGCGACGCCGCGUGAGUGAAGAAGUAUUUCGGUAUGUAAAGCUCUAUCAGCAGGGAAGAAAAUGACGGUACCUGAGUAAGAAGCCCCGGCUAACUACGUG
rnacentral:rRNA from 1 species